rnacentral:lncRNA from 1 species
CACCGUCUCAAAAAAAAAACAAAAAACAAAAAAAAAAACUUCUGAAUAUUAGCUCACUUCACCCAAAAAUAAUACUCUGAAAUACAUACCAGGGAAACUGAGGUACAAGGAGGUUAACUUGCCCAACAUGACAGAGGCGGUAAGUGGCAGUGCUGAGAUCUGAACCCUGGAAACUUGGCUCCAGUGUCUGGAUUCUUAACUCCUAAUCAACCUCUCUGUCUACCCCUUGGCCCAAGAGAGCUGGCCAGCCCUGGGGUACUCAAAGCAAAUCCACUUUCAGCUGAGGACUGAAGGCAGCAAAGUGAAUAUAUCUAUUUUUCCUUUUAAGUGAGACUCAUGUAUUAGCUCCCAGUUCUGUAGGUCCUAAGUUCAUGCAGGCUCUGCUGUGCUCCAUGUUCAGGGCAUAACAUGGCUGAAGCAGAGAUGUCAGCUCACUGGAGUCCUCAUCUGGAGGCUCUGGGAGGAACUGGCUUUUCAGAUUGUUGACAGAAUUCAGUUCCUUGCAGUUGUAGAACUGAAGCCCCCAUUUCCUUACUUGCGAUUCCCUCUGCAAUUAGAAGCUUCCUGCAUUCCUUGUCCUGUGGACCCUUCUACAUUUUUAUUUAUGGCAGAUAUUUUAACUGUCCCACAGAUUUGUCUUGAAUAAGAAGCAAAGAGAUGGGAAAACCCCCUAGCAACAGGUGCGUAAUGGGACUUUUUUUUGUUUCCGUUUUGGUUGAGGGCUCCCUGCUGGGGUACUUGGCUCUCUCUAGGGACAGCUGAACCGUCUGCUGAGUUAGAAAAGCGGAGACUUCCCCAAACCAGCCUAUGAACCCUUAGCUCAUCACCUGUCUUGAGGGUGUACCAGGAAGACUUGAGGAUUACUGAGGGGAAAAUAGAGGUUAUGGAGAAAGUUUCCCCUUCAUUGAAAAUGCCUGGGCCGGGUGUGGUGGCUCACGCCUGUAAUCUCAGAACUUUGGGAGGCCGAGGUGGGUGGAUCACCUGAGAUUAGGAUUUCAUGACCAGCCUGGCCAACGUGGUGAAACCCCAUCUCUACCAAAAAUACAAAAAAUUAGCUGGGCAUGGUGGCAGGUGCCUGUAAUCUCAGCUACUUGGGAGGCUGAGGCAAGGAGAAUCGCUUGAACCCAGGAGGCAGAUAUUGCAGUGAGCUGAGAUCAUGCCAUUGCACUCUAGCUUGGGCAACAAGAGCGAAACUCCAUCUCAAAAAAAAAAAAAGUCUGCAAAAAUAAAAAAAUAAAAAAUAAA